CUCUUCGGAGGGAAGUGAAGGGAAUGAGCGGCGGACGGGUGAGUAACACGUAAGGAACCUGCCCCAAGGAUUGGGAUAACUCCGAGAAAUCGGAGCUAAUACCGAAUAGUUCUUCAGACCGCAUGGUCUGAUGAUGAAAGGCGCUUCGGCGUCACCUUGGGAUGGCCUUGCGGUGCAUUAGCUAGUUGGUGGGGUAAUGGCCCACCAAGGCGACGAUGCAUAGCCGACCUGAGAGGGUGAUCGGCCACACUGGGACUGAGACACGGCCCAGACUCCUACGGGAGGCAGCAGUAGGGAAUCUUCCACAAUGGACGAAAGUCUGAUGGAGCAACGCCGCGUGAGUGAUGAAGGUUUUCGGAUCGUAAAACUCUGUUGUAAGGGAAGAACAGGUAUGAGAGGUAAUGCUCAUGCUAUGACGGUACCUUACGAGAAAGCCACGGCUAACUACGUGCCAGCAGCCGCGGUAAUACGUAGGUGGCAAGCGUUGUCCGGAAUUAUUGGGCGUAAAGCGCGCGCAGGCGGCCUUUUAAGUCUGAUGUGAAAGCCCCCGGCUCAACCGGGGAGGGUCAUUGGAAACUGGAAGGCUUGAGUACAGAAGAGAAGAGUGGAAUUCCAUGUGUAGCGGUGAAAUGCGUAGAGAUGUGGAGGAACACCAGUGGCGAAGGCGACUCUUUGGUCUGUAACUGACGCUGAGGCGCGA
rnacentral:rRNA from 1 species